GGCCCUUCCCAACAAUGCAGAGAGAAACAACAGUGAAAUGUUUACUUACAGGUCCUUCCCAACAAUGCAGAGAGAAACAACAGUGAAAUGCUUACUUACAGGCCCUUCCCAACAAUGCAGAGAGAAACAACAGGUAUAGACUAACAGUGAAAUGCUUACUUACAGGCCCUUCCCAACAAUGCAGAGAGAAACAACAGUGAAAUGCUUACUUACAGGCCCUUCCCAACAAUGCAGAGAGAAACAACAGUGAAAUGCUUACAGGCCCUUCCCAACAAUGCAGAGAGAAACAACAGUGAAAUGUUUACUUACAGGUCCUUCCCAACAAUGCAGAGAGAAACAACAGUGAAAUGCUUACUUACAGGCCCUUCCCAACAAUGCAGAGAGAAUCAACAGUGAAAUGCUUACUUACAGGCCCUUCCCAACAAUGCAGAGAGAAACAACAGGUAUAGACUAACAGUGAAAUGUUUACUUACAGGCCCUUCCCAACAAUGCAGAGAGAAACAACAGGUAUAGACUAACAGUGAAAUGCUUACUUACAGGCCCUUCCCAACAAUACAGAGAGAAACAACAGGUGUAGACUAACAGUGAAAUGCUUACUUACAGGCCCUUCCCAACAAUACAGAGAGAAACAACAGGUAUAGACUAACAGUGAAAUGUUUACUUACAGGCCCUUCCCAACAAUACAGAGAGAAACAACAGGUAUAGACUAACAGUGAAAUGUUUACUUACAGGCCCUUCCCAACAAUGCAGA